rnacentral:rRNA from 1 species
UACGAAGGGUGCAAGCGUUAAUCGGAAUUACUGGGCGUAAAGCGUGCGCAGGCGGUUAUGCAAGACAGAGGUGAAAUCCCCGGGCUCAACCUGGGAACUGCAUUUGUGACUGCAUCGCUGGAGUGCGGCAGAGGGGGAUGGAAUUCCGCGUGUAGCAGUGAAAUGCGUAGAUAUGCGGAGGAACACCGAUGGCGAAGGCAAUCCCCUGGGCCUGCACUGACGCUCAUGCACGAAAGCGUGGGGAGCAAACAGG